CUUGGCAGUGAUUAUAAUGGCAGUGAUUAUAUGGAAAUGCUGCCGUACAUUUCUGUGAGGUGGCUGAGUUUGGAGAUGUGCAUCACCCGCAUUCUGCAGCAGUAUGGCCCACUCAGCAGCUACUUCAAAUCUUUAAAUGAGAAACAACCAAGGUUCAGGAGGCUGGUGGAGGCGUUUUCCAAUCCCCUGACGGAAGUCUAGCUCCUGUUCCUUCAGGGCACAUUCCCAGUGUUCUCUACACUGAACCUCCUUCUCCAGAGAGAAAAGGCAUCCAUAUUCCAGCUGUAUGAAGAGAUGACAAAAUUCAUCAAGAAACUCUUUUCGAGGUUCAUGACACCAGCAGCAUUACGAGGAGGAGAAGUCCAUGACAUCCCCUUCAAGGACUCACUGCACCAACUGCCAGGAGAAAAACUCAAUGUGGGUUUCACCACCAGAGCUACGGUAAACAGGCUUCUUGAGGCUGGAGAGUGUCAUGGUUUCACCUCUCCUGGUCAGGUAUUUCUUGGUUUAGAGGUGGAAUCAUACAGAAUUCUUUGUUUCAUGUGGGGAGAGAUGUUUUUUGACCUUGUGGUCUUCCAUACUCUCCCCAAGUCGCGUCAUCGUUCCUACCCUCCUGUUUCCUAGUUUGUGUUAAUUAGCUUUCCUUGAUUGUUUAUCCCCUGCACCUGUUCCCUCUUGGUUCCUCUCCCUUUAAAACA